rnacentral:lncRNA from 1 species
GGAGAAGUUCGUGUAUGGGUGGAUAUUAAGACUGACAGAGACGUUCACAGAAUGAUGUAUACUAUGUUCAAAAUUGUUUUUAUGGUUGUAAUCACAUAGUUAUGUUAUUGUAGUCUCAUAGUUAUGUUGUUUAUGUGUUGUGUUUGUUAGUAAUGGUAUUUCAUUUUUUGUAGUUUGUUGUGUUGUUGUUUAUGUGUUGCUUGUGUGUUG